UUAAGCGACUAAGCGUACACGGUGGAUGCCCUGGCAGUCAGAGGCGAUGAAGGACGUGCUAAUCUGCGAUAAGCGUCGGUGAGGUGAUAUGAACCGUUAUAACCGGCGAUUUCCGAAUGGGGAAACCCAGUGUGUUUCGACACACUAUCAUUAACUGAAUCCAUAGGUUAAUGAGGCGAACCGGGGGAACUGAAACAUCUAAGUACCCCGAGGAAAAGAAAUCAACCGAGAUUCCCCCAGUAGCGGCGAGCGAACGGGGAGGAGCCCAGAGCCUGAAUCAGUGUGUGUGUUAGUGGAAGCGUCUGGAAAGGCGCGCGAUACAGGGUGACAGCCCCGUACACAAAAAUGCACAUAUUGUGAGCUCGAUGAGUAGGGCGGGACACGUGGUAUCCUGUCUGAAUAUGGGGGGACCAUCCUCCAAGGCUAAAUACUCCUGACUGACCGAUAGUGAACCAGUACCGUGAGGGAAAGGCGAAAAGAACCCCGGCGAGGGGAGUGAAAAAGAACCUGAAACCGUGUACGUACAAGCAGUGGGAGCCUCUUAAUGGGGUGACUGCGUACCUUUUUGUAUAAUGGGUCAGCGACUUAUAUUCUGUAGCAAGGUUAACCGAAUAGGGAGCCGAAGGAAACCGAGUCUUAACUGGGCGUUAAGUUGCAGGGUAUAGACCCGAAACCCGGUGAUCUAGCCAUGGGCAGGUUGAAGGUUGGGUAACACUAACUGGAGGACCGAACCGACUAAUGUUGAAAAAUUAGCGGAUGACUUGUGGCUGGGGGUGAAAGGCCAAUCAAACCGGGAGAUAGCUGGUUCUCCCCGAAAGCUAUUUAGGUAGCGCCUCGUGAAUUCAUCUCCGGGGGUAGAGCACUGUUUCGGCAAGGGGGUCAUCCCGACUUACCAACCCGAUGCAAACUGCGAAUACCGGAGAAUGUUAUCACGGGAGACACACGGCGGGUGCUAACGUCCGUCGUGAAGAGGGAAACAACCCAGACCGCCAGCUAAGGUCCCAAAGUCAUGGUUAAGUGGGAAACGAUGUGGGAAGGCCCAGACAGCCAGGAUGUUGGCUUAGAAGCAGCCAUCAUUUAAAGAAAGCGUAAUAGCUCACUGGUCGAGUCGGCCUGCGCGGAAGAUGUAACGGGGCUAAACCAUGCACCGAAGCUGCGGCAGCGACACUAUGUGUUGUUGGGUAGGGGAGCGUUCUGUAAGCCUGUGAAGGUGGCCUGUGAGGGUUGCUGGAGGUAUCAGAAGUGCGAAUGCUGACAUAAGUAACGAUAAAGCGGGUGAAAAGCCCGCUCGCCGGAAGACCAAGGGUUCCUGUCCAACGUUAAUCGGGGCAGGGUGAGUCGACCCCUAAGGCGAGGCCGAAAGGCGUAGUCGAUGGGAAACAGGUUAAUAUUCCUGUACUUGGUGUUACUGCGAAGGGGGGACGGAGAAGGCUAUGUUGGCCGGGCGACGGUUGUCCCGGUUUAAGCGUGUAGGCUGGUUUUCCAGGCAAAUCCGGAAAAUCAAGGCUGAGGCGUGAUGACGAGGCACUACGGUGCUGAAGCGACAAAUGCCCUGCUUCCAGGAAAAGCCUCUAAGCAUCAGGUAACAUCAAAUCGUACCCCAAACCGACACAGGUGGUCAGGUAGAGAAUACCAAGGCGCUUGAGAGAACUCGGGUGAAGGAACUAGGCAAAAUGGUGCCGUAACUUCGGGAGAAGGCACGCUGAUAUGUAGGUGAAGCGACUUGCUCGUGGAGCUGAAAUCAGUCGAAGAUACCAGCUGGCUGCAACUGUUUAUUAAAAACACAGCACUGUGCAAACACGAAAGUGGACGUAUACGGUGUGACGCCUGCCCGGUGCCGGAAGGUUAAUUGAUGGGGUUAGCGGUAACGCGAAGCUCUUGAUCGAAGCCCCGGUAAACGGCGGCCGUAACUAUAACGGUCCUAAGGUAGCGAAAUUCCUUGUCGGGUAAGUUCCGACCUGCACGAAUGGCGUAAUGAUGGCCAGGCUGUCUCCACCCGAGACUCAGUGAAAUUGAACUCGCUGUGAAGAUGCAGUGUACCCGCGGCAAGACGGAAAGACCCCGUGAACCUUUACUAUAGCUUGACACUGAACAUUGAGCCUUGAUGUGUAGGAUAGGUGGGAGGCUUUGAAGUGUGGACGCCAGUCUGCAUGGAGCCGACCUUGAAAUACCACCCUUUAAUGUUUGAUGUUCUAACGUGGGCCCCUUACCGGGGUUGCGGACAGUGUCUGGUGGGUAGUUUGACUGGGGCGGUCUCCUCCUAAAGAGUAACGGAGGAGCACGAAGGUUGGCUAAUCCUGGUCGGACAUCAGGAGGUUAGUGCAAUGGCAUAAGCCAGCUUGACUGCGAGCGUGACGGCGCGAGCAGGUGCGAAAGCAGGUCAUAGUGAUCCGGUGGUUCUGAAUGGAAGGGCCAUCGCUCAACGGAUAAAAGGUACUCCGGGGAUAACAGGCUGAUACCGCCCAAGAGUUCAUAUCGACGGCGGUGUUUGGCACCUCGAUGUCGGCUCAUCACAUCCUGGGGCUGAAGUAGGUCCCAAGGGUAUGGCUGUUCGCCAUUUAAAGUGGUACGCGAGCUGGGUUUAGAACGUCGUGAGACAGUUCGGUCCCUAUCUGCCGUGGGCGCUGGAGAACUGAGGGGGGCUGCUCCUAGUACGAGAGGACCGGAGUGGACGCAUCACUGGUGUUCGGGUUGUCAUGCCAAUGGCACUGCCCGGUAGCUAAAUGCGGAAGAGAUAAGUGCUGAAAGCAUCUAAGCACGAAACUUGCCCCGAGAUGAGUUCUCCCUGACUCCUUGAGAGUCCUGAAGGAACGUUGAAGACGACGACGUUGAUAGGCCGGGUGUGUAAGCGCAGCGAUGCGUUGAGCUAACCGGUACUAAUGAACCGUGAGGCUUAACCU
rnacentral:rRNA from 1 species